GAUGAACGCUAGCGGCAGGCCUAAUACAUGCAAGUCGAGGGGUAGAAGAGGCUUGCUUCUUUGAGACCGGCGCACGGGUGCGUAACGCGUAUGCAACCUACCUUCAUCUGGGGGAUAGCCCGGAGAAAUCCGGAUUAAUACCGCAUAAAAUCACAGGAUGGCAUUAUCCAAUGAUCAAACAUUUAUGGGAUGGAGAUGGGCAUGCGUGUCAUUAGCUAGUUGGCGGGGUAACGGCCCACCAAGGCGACGAUGACUAGGGGAUCUGCGAGGAUGGCCCACCACACUGGUACUGAGACACGGACCAGACUCCUACGGGAGGCAGCAGUAAGGAAUAUUGGUCAAUGGAGGCAACUCUGAACCAGCCAUGCCGCGUGCAGGAAGACUGCCCUAUGGGUUGUAAACUGCUUUUAUUCGGGAAUAAACCUUAUUACGUGUAAUAAGCUGAAUGUACCGAAGGAAUAAGGAUCGGCUAACUCCGUGCCAGCCGCCGCGGUAA
rnacentral:rRNA from 1 species